CUCAGGGCUGCUUUUUUCCUGCAGAGAAGUGUGCAGUGAGGGACUUGGGCAGACAGCAUGAGAGGCAGAGUCUUUGCUUACCUGGAGGUUGCCUUCUAAUGUACUGGGCUCCUGGGAGUGCAUGAAGGCUUCUUAGAUGAAGAGUAAUGGGGAUGUCUUACACAGCAAGAUGAGAAAACACAGACCACUUGGCUCUCUAGCGAGGACCAGAAUUUGAGUCAAAAUUAUAUGCAUGUCCCAGCAAAGCUUCGCAAAGAUGUCAGUAUUAAUUGUCACCAUCCUCCAGGGAGAAAGCAACAGCCCACAAUUGCCUGCAUUUUCUUUCCUCUUCAAAACCACUUCUGCUCCAAAGACCAUGAACCUGAACUGAAGAAACGACUCCUUCCUGCUGGUGUGAGAUAAUUCAGUCUCCAUGAUGUCUUAAUCCUGGGCCUCCCUUAAUUGACUUCUAACUGUGCUGAACUGUGGCUGCUAGGAGUUGCAAUGUGGAUCGCAAUUUACAAGGAAGAGAAAAAGACCGGUCUCUGUUUGGAAAUUACAAACAUAGAAGAACUUAGAAACAAUGGGUUUCUAGAUUGGGUGGAAGGACUGGCUUGGGAUCCUGAGAGAGCAAGAAAAGUUUACCGGGAGCUUCAGAAAAAGUUAUUCAUCAUUUUUGGAGUGGAUAUUCAGAAGUGACUUCCCUCUUUUGCUCUGGUGCCUGGCUACUUCAAGAGUUGAGCUAAUCACAGGGAAGAUUCAGUCUCAGUUCAGCUGCCUCAUUUGAUCAGCUCAAGACUGAGUCCAACAAAAGUGGUCUGUCUAAUGAAACUCAUUUUCAUUUUUUCUCAUUAGUCUAUACACGAUUGAGACUGUAGAACGACAAAAGAAUAAAAAGAAGAAUGACAAUUAAAAAUCAUUUUCUCUGGCCCUUGAUUUUUGCCUUCUUUUUUUUAAAUGUAGUUACGUGCUCAUUUUUUGUUUCUUUUUUAUUCUCUGCUCUUCUUUUCUAUUGAUUUUCCCAUUUAUGAAGGGGGAAUUAGUAAAUCCAUGGUCUGAGUGCUGAGAUGUUCUGAUAGGCCUUCAAGUUUUCAGCUGUACUCUGAAUCAGAAUAAUAUACUCCAUCAAGGAGACUGACAUUGGCACCACCUUCCCAGAAAUCCAGGAGCGCCUUUGCAUGAGGAAAAGCAGAAGGGAGUAAAGUCAUGAAACAUUGUGUGUGUGUUUGUAUAAAACUGUAUAUUUUUGCUCACAUAUAAUAACUAUAUAUUUCUGCUAAUUUUUCCUUUUAAAGGCUAUUAAGUUACUUAAAAUCCAUUGCCUAAUAAAACUGCAAUUCACCUUUGUAAUUCACUCAUUUGUUUGCUGUCACAGGGAAGAUAGAAAUUGAGCACGUUUUCGGCUGGGUGUGGUGGCUCACGCCUGUAAUCCUAGCACUUGGGGAGGCCGAGGUGGGCGGAUCACGAGGUCAGGAGAUCGAGACCAUCCUGGCUAACAUGGUGAAACCUCGUCUCCACUA
rnacentral:lncRNA from 1 species